AAAUUAAAAGGGAAUUUUUAAAAUUGUAUUUGUACAAAAACAUAUUAUUUCUCAAAGCAUAAAUUAGAAUCUGUUGAAAAAGAAGUUGCUGGAUUACGUUAUUAUCACAGAAUCUACUAUUAAUACAGAAGAGGAAUUACAAACAUUGGAAGCAAAAUUAAUUAACCGUGAUCAAAACCAUGAAUUUAGAUUGUUGAAAUUACAAUAUAGUCAAUGGGUAAAGAUAUAAAACAUUCAAUUAAACGUAUUAACACAUGGCAUAUCAAAUUGGAUGUUCUGGCUAAAUACUCUAGUUUAACUACUUUUUGGAUAUUACACAUAUUUAUUUAUCUACUACAAUAAAUUCAAAUAUAAAAAAUAUUAUUUUGUGA